rnacentral:rRNA from 1 species
UACGUAGGGGGCAAGCGUUGUCCGGAAUCAUUGGGCGUAAAGAGCGUGUAGGCGGCCCGGUAAGUCCGCUGUAAAAGUCAAAGGCUCAACCUUUGAAUGUCAGUGGAUACUGCCGGGCUAGAGUCCGGAAGAGGCGAGUGGAACUCCUGGUGUAGCGGUGGAAUGCGCAGAUAUCAGGAAGAACACCAACGGCGAAGGCAGCUCGCUGGGACGGUACUGACGCUGAGACGCGAAAGCGUGGGGAGGCGAACAGG